rnacentral:rRNA from 1 species
UGGGAAUUUUGGACAAUGGGCGCAAGCCUGAUCCAGCCAUGCCGCGUGCGGGAAGAAGGCCUUCGGGUUGUAAACCGCUUUUGUCAGGGAAGAAAUCUUCUGAGUUAAUACCUCGGGAGGAUGACGGUACCUGAAGAAUAAGCACCGGCUAACUACGUGCCAGCAGCCGCGGUAAUACGUAGGGUGCAAGCGUUAAUCGGAAUUACUGGGCGUAAAGCGUGCGCAGGCGGUUUUGUAAGACAGAGGUGAAAUCCCCGGGCUCAACCUGGGAACUGCCUUUGUGACUGCAAGGCUUGAGUGCGGCAGAGGGGGAUGGAAUUCCGCGUGUAGCAGUGAAAUGCGUAGAUAUGCGGAGGAACACCGAUGGCGAAGGCAAUCCCCUGGGGCCUGCACUGACGUUUCAUGCACGAAAGCGUGGGGAGCAAAACAGGAUUAGAUACCCUGGUAGUCCACGCCCUAAACGAUGUCAACUGGUUGUUGGGAAGGUUCCCUCUCAGUAACGUAGCUAACGCGUGAAGUUGACCGCCUGGGGAGUACGGCCGCAAGGUUGAAACUUAAAGG